AGGACGAACGCUGGCGGCGUGCUUAACACAUGCAAGUCGAGCGGUAAGGCCUCCUUCGGGGGUACACGAGCGGCGAACGGGUGAGUAACACGUGGGUGACCUGCCCUCAGCUCUGGGAUAAGCCUGGGAAACCGGGUCUAAUACCGGAUAGGACUGCUUGCCGCAUGGUGGGUGGCGGAAAGUUUUUUCGGCUGGGGAUGGGCCCGCGGCCUAUCAGCUUGUUGGUGGGGUGAUGGCCUACCAAGGCGGUGACGGGUA
rnacentral:rRNA from 1 species